rnacentral:lncRNA from 1 species
CGGGCUUCCACCCCUCUGGGUUCUCCUGAGAUGAGGGGAAGAGAUUGCUCUGCGACAUCCCUUCUCUUGCUGCGCCCGCUUCUGCUUCUGCUCGGGGGUUCAGAGUUGGGUGAGGAAACUAACUUUGGAGAAGAUGCAAGCGCUGCUCCGGGCUCGCCGAAGUGGGGGUCGGACCCACGGAGGGAAAGCAUCCUGGGACUCCGGCAAGGAACAAGCCAAAAUGUACCCACUAAAACCCAUUGAGCAGCACUGAUGACUCACAGACAAAACAAAACUAUACCAGUGGUGGCCUUAGGAUCACCAAAAAUCAAGUAAUUGACAACCUAGGCUCCACUGAGGACUACAGUACUGAACACCGGGUAACCUCUGCAGACCCGGCCACCACCGAGGACAACGCCUCUGCAGACCCGGCCAUCACCGAGGGCUCUUUUACUGCUGUCCUGGGAACCACCAAGAGCUAUAUCACUAAACAUCCAGACACUCGCCCUGAGAGAACAAUUGCAAUAACCUCAGUGAAACCCACUGGGCAGCUGACACCUACGGUGUUGACAUCCUCAUUUCCCUGGCUGCCACCACAAUGGCAGUUGCACUCCUUGUUGGACUUGGCUUCUUUGUGGUGAGUAUUGGCCCAGAAUGUAAAGGACAUUAUGCGCAA